rnacentral:lncRNA from 1 species
AAGUGUGCUUGCUAGUUAUGGCUGUUAAUUUUGACAGGAAGCUGCUGCAACUAACAAACCCAGAAACAGCCUUCCUAAAGGCUGGUUCUGGUGCAUUCUUCUCAGAUCUAGUCAUAAGAAUUGAGAGAGAAGGUUAGUUACUUGUAUUCUCUGUAUCUAUCUCAUGUUCUGUGUAGAUCUUUGAUUCAAUAUCGUGAAAGCCUGAAGCUUGUUUCCUCAGUGGAUGCAGAUACCUUCAACAGGUGCUGAACCUCUUAACUCUUGUGUGUUUGUCUUUGUCUUGUUUCUGUUCUUGAUCGAUUAUUGAGUGUGUGCAUUUCUUGAUCUGUGAAUCUUGCAUCUUGUAAGCAGAAUUAGGUCCUGGGGUGAAUUUGAUCUGAUUUAUAAGGGUUGAAUUCACGACACGCUUAGACAUGCAUUUGCCUGCAUAGGAAGAACAGGCCAAAAAUAACUUACAUGGUCUGAUUCCAAGCUUUUAACUGGGGGUUAUUUAGAUAAGUUAAUUUUGUCUUCAUACUUUAAUUGUCAUUAAUUUUCUCUGACCUAUGAAAUUUUAAAUUCCAUGACAUUAACUAAUGUGAUUAUUCUAGUGGAUUUCUGACUCAAAAUUUGUACCUAGAAUGCCCGUCUUUAACAACAGCAACAUUUGCUGCCGCCAUGGCAUAUCUCAUUCUUGCCAUUACCUUUAUCUUGGCUAUUUGUUUUUGGAAUCGUGUCGAUCAUAUUGUGUUAUAAUUUAUGCAAAUUAAAAAUAUGUUAUUAAUUAAUAUGGAAGGGGAUAGUAAUAUCCUCAUGGCUCAGCAAAAUGAUCAUAAAGACUUCAUUAUUUUUAUAAAUAGUCAUAUCGACUCAUGCUUAGGUAAUUAUGCUUUAUGAGGUCAAAGGCUAUAAUUGUUCAAGAAAUAUCUAUGUGACAAUUUCUAAAAAUAUAGUAUGCGUCCACUUCGCCAAACCACAAGCAUAUUAACUCGUAACCACUAAUUUUAAUUUCUAUAACCAGAAUGGAGAAACUGGGACUGGAGAAACCAAGUGGGAAGGCUAAAAUAUUGGGAACAGUAAUGGCAAUAGGAGGAGCAAUGGUGCUUGCUCUCUAUAAAGAAACUGAACUUACCAUUUGGUCAACAGAUAUUAACUUAUUGCACCAAAAUAGCACAAUGGCACCAUCACCACCCAAAAAUUUCUAUAGCCAUUUGUUGAGUUCUUUGGCUUCUUUUGGUGCUUUUUUCUUUUGCAACUUGGCUGAUCAUUCAGGUGAUAAUUUCAACAACCAAAUACACUUUUUUUUAUUAUAUUAAAUACAUUUUUCGUAUCUAUCGACUUUGUAAUUAGUAUGUACAAUAUGAUUAAUUAGAACAAUUUUUUUUUUGGUAUAAUUUAUGUUUAGACUAAUAUGAGUAAGAGGCACCAAUGUCAUUACUCAAGCACAACUCUAAUAUCUUUAAUGGGAUCAAUCUAGUGUAUUGUUUUCGCGUUAUGCAUGGACAGAGAAUGGAAAGAACGGAAAUUGACUUGGAAUAUUCGACUGUGUACAGUUGCUUAUUCGGUAUAAUAUCUAGUAAAUUUUAUUUUAAACUUUAACAUUCCAUCCAAUAUUCGUUUAGUUUUUAUAAUUUAAGUCAAUUCUCAUUUACUCCUUGUAUAUUUAUUUUUGAUAAAAUGUAUUUAAUUAUUCAUUUAUUUUUCACAUAUUGCAUAUGAAAUUUUAUUUGAAUUUUAAGUUUUAUUAUAAAAAAAUAUUCUUUUACUCAUAAAAAGUUAUAUUCAGUAGUUAUUUGGUAGUUUUUGAAAAUAUAAAUAUUAAUUGAAUAAUUGGUACGGACCUUCCUAACUUAAGGGAAUUUGCCUCACGCUUUGAUUAUUGUUCUUAAUUUUGCUACUAGAUAAAUUUUUUAAAUAUAAUUUAUUAGUUGGCAAGUAUAAAUCAAUUUGAUAACAAGUAUAAAUCAGUUGAUGAUAAUAUACAUAGUAAUAAAUACGUGGUAACUAAUUAUAUUUAUCUAAUUAAUUUUGUAGGGAAUUGUGACCGAGUGAUAGUGACACUGGUAACAUGGAAUUCAGCUAGGAGGACCAGUCUUUACGUCCAUAUCCUUUGUCAGUUCUGCUUGUAGCAAUUGGAGGAUCUUUGGUCUUGGAUGAAAGCUUCGCUGUGGAAUAUUAAUUACAGCAAGAAUUGUUUUUGGUUAUUCUGAAUGCACUUAUUAGUUAAUUAUUUUAAGGAAAAACGAUAGUGAUAUCCGGGAUUCAGUAAAAUGGUCAUGAAAAUUAUCUUUUUUGUAGAAAUAAUAAUUCAUGUCUCUUCAUUUUGUGGUUAAAAACAAUUAUACAGACCUUAAGAUUUGUCUUAAAAAAAAUGUGUCCUAAAAAGCUGAAAAGGAUCUACAUAAUUAUUUCAAAACAUAAAAGAAAUCAUGGGAUUAUUUCACCAUACUAGAUGGUGCCGCUGUCCUUUUACCUUGUUUAAAUUGUAAGAUUUUUAUAGAUUAUAUUCAAGUAAUACAGCAUAGUGGGAGCACUGUUGAUGGUGUGCUGAUUAUGCAUGGUGCUUUGGGGUAAAAGCGAGGAGAUAACAAACGAUCGAAGUGAGUUGGUGCCAUCAAACAGAGAUUGUCCCUGUUUAACAUAGCCAAUUGACAGCAGAUUCUCCUUUGUAUUAAUGAUGACUCACUACAAAAUUAAUAAAGGACAAAUAGAUGAGAUAUAAAGUUUCCGUCAAUUGUUAAAGCUAGCUUGCUAGCUAAAUUCAUAACCAUCCGGCUAAAAGUUGAGUGAAUAGAGUCACUUUCUCACAAGUGUAACGAGGGAAGUGGUUCGAACUCUCACAGAAAUAUUGUGGGGGUUUAAUUUAAAUGUCUUUUCUAAAACAUUUGAGUGAAGGUUUAAAUUUCUCAAAUAUUAGAGAGGAUUAUAAUAUUUAAAUAUUGUAAUGUGAGCAAUAGUCUCAUGUAAUUAAAAAAAAAAAACUUGCUAGCUAAAUUCUAAAUAUGAUGCGUGUACCUGUGUUCUACCUGUGUUCUAACUUGUAAUUAAAAUAAAAUAACAUAUUGUAGGACGAGCUCUCAAACUUUUUAUGCUUCUAUCACUAUCGCCUCUAGAUUUUUCCUUUUCAUUACCCUCCAAAUCCUCUUUCAUUGACUCCUGUUCCUAGGGUUUCUCAAGGAUUUUCAAGAGGCUUUUGUUUAAUUGACCACUCGAAUUUAAAUUCUAAAACAAAUAAGGGCAAG